rnacentral:rRNA from 1 species
UGGGGAAUUUUGCACAAUGGGGGAAACCCUGAUGCAGCGACGCCGCGUGAUUUAGAAGGCCUUCGGGUUGUAAAAAUCUUUUCUAUGGGAAGAAAAUGACAGUACCAUAGGAAUAAGGACCGGCUAAUUACGUGCCAGCAGCCGCGGUAAUACGUAAGGUCCGAGCGUUGUCCGGAAUCAUUGGGCGUAAAGGGUACGUAGGCGGGUAAGCAAGUUAGAAGUGAAAUCCUGUAGCUCAACUACAGUAAGCUUUUAAAACUGCUCAUCUUGAGAUAUGGAAGGGAAAGUGGAAUUCCUAGUGUAGCGGUGAAAUGCGCAGAUAUUAGGAGGAAUACCGGUGGCGAAGGCGACUUACUGGCCAUAAUCUGACGCUGAGGUACGAAAGCGUGGGUAGCAAACAGG